rnacentral:rRNA from 1 species
CCUACGGGAGGCAGCAGUGAGGAAUAUUGGGCAAUGGACGCAAGUCGGAACCAGCCAUGCCGCGUGCAGGAAGACGGCUCUAUGAGUUGUAAACUGCUUUUGUACGAGGGUAAACGCAGAUACGCGUAUCUGUCUGAAAGUACCGUACGAAUAAGGAUCGGCUAACUCCGUGCCAGCAGCCGCGGUAAUACGGAGGAUUCAAGCGUUAUCCGGAUUUAUUGGGUUUAAAGGGUGCGUAGGCGGUCGGUUAAGUUAGAGGUGAAAUCCCGGGGCUCAACUUCGGAAUUGCAUCUGAUACUGUUCGGCUAGAGGGUAGUUGCGGUAGGCGGAAUGUAUGGUGUAGCGGUGAAAUGCUUAGAGAUCAUACAGAACACCGAUUGCGAAGGCAGCAUACCAAGCUACUUCUGACGUUGAGGCACGAAAGCGUGGGGAGCAAACAGGAUUAGAUACCCUAGUAGUC